rnacentral:rRNA from 1 species
AUUGAACGCUGGCGGCAGGCUUAACACAUGCAAGUCGAACGAGUGGCGGACGGGUGAGUAAUGUCUGGGAAACUGCCUGAUGGAGGGGGAUAACUACUGGAAACGGUAGCUAAUACCGCAUACCAUCAGAUGUGCCCAGAUGGGAUUGGCUAGUUGGGGGGGUAACGGCUCACCAAGGCGAAGAUCCCUAGCUGGUCUGCGGGGAUGACCGGCCACACUGGAGCUGAGACACGGUCCAGACGCCUACGGGAGGCACCAGUGGGGGAUAUUGAACAAUGGGCGCAAGCCUGAGGCAGCCGUGCCGCGUGUAUAAAGAAGGCCUUCGGGUUGUAAAAUACUUUCGGCGGGGAGGCGGUACCCGCAGAAGAAGCACCGGCUAACUCCGUGCCAGCAGCCGCGGUAAUUC